UCUGGAACCAAGUUAGUGACACAGACGUGAACUCUCUCUACCUGGGAACCUCAACUCUAAGAUACAGCCAUGUCUAAUCGUCUGCAAGACCUCAUUAAAAGCAUAGUGGCAUUGUUCGUGGAGUACUCUGACGCUCAGGGCAUGAUCAGCAAGGCGCAGAUGAUGAAGAUGAUGGAUAAUGAUAUUCAAUGCGCUGCUAUGAAAGAAAAGCUCCAUACUACAAAAUGCGACAAGAAUCUCUGCGACUUCAGAGACUUUUCUUCUUGUGUGGAACAAGUGGCCGUUUGCUGCUACCAAAACAACACUGGCAAGGGCCAAGACUGGGAAGUCUGCUCAAAAAAGUGAAAAUGGCAUAAUGUUACACUCCCUACAUGAGAAUGUUAUGUUUACUGUCUUACUGUCAAUUGGUUUUCAAAGGCCCUUCAAUACUGGCAA